rnacentral:rRNA from 1 species
GACAGAGGAUGCAAGCGUUAUCCGGAAUGAUUGGGCGUAAAGGGCCAGUAGGCGGCCAACUAAGUCCGACGUGAAAUCCCAAGGCUUAACCUUGGAACUGCGUCGGAUACUGGAUGGCUUGAAUUCGGGAGAGGGAUGCAGAAUUCCAGGUGUAGCGGUGAAAUGCGCAGAUAUCAGGAGGAACACCAGCGGCGAAGGCGGCGCUCUGGGCCGGAACUGACGCUGAGGAGCGAAAGCGUGGGUAGCAAACAGG